rnacentral:rRNA from 1 species
AUACGUAGGGUGCGAGCGUUGUCCGGAAUUACUGGGCGUAAAGAGCUCGUAGGUGGUUUGUCGCGUCGUCUGUGAAAUUCCGGGGCUUAACUCCGGGCGUGCAGGCGAUACGGGCAUAACUUGAGUACUGUAGGGGAGACUGGAAUUCCUGGUGUAGCGGUGAAAUGCGCAGAUAUCAGGAGGAACACCGGUGGCGAAGGCGGGUCUCUGGGCAGUAACUGACGCUGAGGAGCGAAAGCAUGGGUAGCGAACAGGAUUAGAUACCCUGGUAGUCCAUGCCGUAAACGGUGGGCGCUAGGUGUAGGGGUCUUCCACGACUUCUGUGCCGUAGCUAACGCAUUAAGCGCCCCGCCUGAGGAGUACGGCCGCAAGGCUAAAACUCAAAGGAAUGGACGGGG